GGAGAUGUAGUUAUCUAUGCAGUGGGAUGAUGGGAGAUGUAGUUAUCCAUGCAGUGGGAUGAUGGGAGAUGUAGUUCUCUUUGCAGUGGGAUGAUGGGAGAUGUAGUUCUCCAUGUAGGGGAUGAUGGGAGAUGUAGUUAUCUAUGCAGGGGAUGAUGGGAGAUGUAGUUCUCUAUGCAGGGGAUGAUGGGAGAUGUAGUUCUCCAUGCAGUGGGUGAUGGGAGAUGUAGUUAUCUAUGCAGGGGAUGAUGGAAGAUGUAGUUCUCCAUGCAGUGGGAUGAUGGGAGAUGUAGUUAUCUAUGCAGUGGGAUGAUGGGAGAUGUAGUUAUCCAUGCAGUGGGAUGAUGGGAGAUGUAGUUCUCUUUGCAGUGGGAUGAUGGGAGAUGUAGUUCUCCAUGUAGGGGAUGAUGGGAGACGUAGUUCUCCAUGCAGUGGGGUGAUGGGAGAUGUAGUUAUCCAUGCAGUGGGAUGAUGGGAGAUGCAGUUAUCUAUGCAGGGGAUGAUGGGAGAUGUAAUUCUCUAUGCAGUGGGAUGAUGGGAGAUGUAGUUCUCCAUGUAGGGGAUGAUGGGAGAUGUAGUUCUCCAUGCAGUGGGGGUGAUGGGAGAUGUAGUUAUCUAUGCAGUGGGAUGAUGGGAGAAGUAGUUCUCCAUGCAGUGGGAUGAUGGGAUAUGUAGUUAUCUAUGUAGUGGGAUGAUGGGAGAUGUAGUUCUCCAUGCAGGGGAUGAUGGGAGAUGUAGUUAUCUAUGCAGUGGGGUGAUGGGAGAUGUAGUUAUCCAUGCAGUGGGAUGAUGGGAGAUAUAGUUCCCUUUGCAGUGGGA